CAGCCCUGUAGGUUGUAGUUGAAUUUUCCAGUAGAAAGACUGGAUUUCAUGAACUAAAAGAUUGAUUUUUUUUUUUUUUUUUUAAAUCUAUUUAUGUAAAAGGGAUAGAGCCAUCAUAGCACGGGCUUCCUAAGCGGAAGAAAUAUCAGAAGGGAUUUGCAGUGCUGGAAAGUAGCUGCUGUUCUACCUAAGUGUAUGCAUGCGUGCCUGUGUGUGUUUAUGUAUGUGUGUGUCUGUGUAUAUAGACAUAAAUAAUUAGACUUGUAGUUGGCAUAACGCAUAAUGCCUGCUCAUGCUGUUGACAGUUACUUAAUAAUGCACGCUCUCCCAUUCUCUACAGCCGAAUUCUUAAGGCAUUACCAUGGGAAUUUUCCCUUUCUUGGGAUUGUAACAGAGCUCUAGGACUAGUUGUUUUUGUGAUGUGCUUCUUGACUGGCUGGAGCGGCCCUCAUUCAGGAACUCCAUCCAAGCAUCUCCUGCAGAGAAUGAAACCAUCAGCUGUCCUCGAAGCGGUGCUCCAUACCGCGGUGACGCACAACGGUGAGCCUUGCGGCCGUGGGGUCUUGGAUUUUAACAUGCUCAAAGCAGAGCCAGCAGUGUACGUUUCAGCGUCUCGCUGUAUGAAGUGGGAUACAUCAAACGCAUCCUUCGGAGAGCUUCUCCAGAAGUCAGAGGGAACGGAGAACUGAAGUCAGCAGUGUUGACGGAAAGGAGGGUUUCUGUCUUCCUACAACUACAAAAGAAACAUUUGUUGCCUUAGAUAACUCCUGAGCAAACUGCUGUCAAAACAAUUAGUGUUAUUUUACUAUUAUCCUCCUAUUUGAGAGUAAAUAGCCAUUUCAUGAAUAUGUUAAUUACCCGGUAGGUGCAGGAGAUAAGUGUGUGCUAUACCACCACAAAUGAUAAAGCUUCUGUUGUAUACAAACAUCUCCAGCAAUGAUUUUUUCCCAACCGUUGGAGCCAGGUGAUGGCGGUUCAGCUGCUUGCGACCGGACUGGUUCUACUUUGAGAACUCAAAGGUUUAACAAAAGUAACAUCAUUGUGUAAAUGAAGGUUCUUUUUUUUUUUUUUUUUCCUUAUAGAAAAAGCAGGUGGGCGAGUGGUCAGGGCUGAGUCCCUCUGUGAGCUGAGCUAAAUGUUCAAGGCUAACGUGAGCUGAACCCUGUUGUGUUCCUGUGUUAAGUUUUAAAGGCUAACAGAGAGGUGCUGGAUUUAAAAAAAAAAAAAAAAAAAAAAAAAAGUAGUUCUGUAUGGGUAGAAAUAUAUAUAUAUCUUGUACUGGUGAGUGCAUGGUAUUUUUACAUGUAAAUAACAGUGGCUUAUUCCAUUUCAAUUCUGUUCUGUAGGGUAGAAAUUAUUUGUGGAUUUAUCCGCCAGUAGAACUGCAGGUUACCAGAUAGAUGUGUGUGUGUUUCUUAUAUCGCGCCAGUAUUUAUUCUAGCAGAAGUGUGAUUAGUUCGGCUCUGCAGAAGCAGAGAAGUGCGGGUUUUCCUUUUGGAGAUGCUACAUUUAGGGAGGGGGAAAAAAAAAAAAGUAAAACAAAACAAAAAAAAAUCAAUAUUCUGAGAAGUUGAAUGCGCCAUUGUGCCAGAUAAUUAAAAUGUAAAUUUAAGUAUCUAUGCCCGCUUUGUGAUUUUUUUAAUACUUUUAAGUUAGUUGUCUUUUAAAACAUGUGGUCAGCUGUUGUAUUCACAUAUGGUCAAAUGAUCAAAGUCUGAACUCCUCUCUAAUUGUCCCCUGCUGCUUGUCUGCUCUGUCCAUGAUCAAGGCCUCAGCAGGUGAUAAGAAAGGCAUGAGAACAGGCUGGAAGGAGAAUGAACUACUGAGGGGCCCAAGCUGAAAGAAAUAAAGACUUCCAGUACAUCA
ensembl:lncRNA